AAACAGUAUUAUGUAAUCCAUGACACAUGUAUAAAAUGAAGAUUUUUGUCGCAUUUCCCAUUCUGUUUGUUGAAAUACUUUAUGUUUGUGUAAAAUGUGUGGGAUAUACGAGAUGUAAAGAGGAAGAAAUUCGGUUUCUGUGUGGAUAUGAUUCAACUACGACAGCAUUACCAACAACAACGAGCGCUCAAAGGCCAACAACAUUUUGGGCAACACAACCAGUGACAACAAAAGCAUUUAAAACAUUAACAUCGCAGAGGUCAAAGCUUAUUUCAACCACACCAGCGACAUGGAGUCCAACAACAAUGACAAAAACAGUAGGGGAUAAAACAGUAAACCCUACUGAAAUUGCGAAGAACGGUGAACCUCUCAUAAGACAGGUGACAAAAUGUGAUAAAAAUGAAGGCGCAAUAACGGGAUUGGGCAUAUUUGCAUUCAUCUCUUUAAUAGCAAACGUGAAAUUGUCUAUUCUGUUGUUCAGAAUCUGUAGACAAAGAUCUGGUGAAAAUGAUACAACGCCAUUUUACAAGAAUGAACCUGCAAAUGCCUCGAAAAAAGAUCAAACUGAAAUGUAUGCAGAUCUUCAAUAUACAGACGACAUCUCUGCAUACCAAACAUUGGCCCGUGGAAACGAUGCUGUAUAUACUAACAGUUUAAAUCUUUGACUACAUGCUCAACUUCUGAUAUAAUUGCUUUUAUUAGUAAAUCCAAGCGAGACUGUGCAGUGUAAAGGGAUUCCUCAAUAUUUUUUUUUUUCAUAUAUUAACAUUAAAAUGGAAUUGGUUAACUUGUCAAAAACUAUCUAUAGCAACACCACCACAAUGUCUUCUUCGAUCUUAACGUAAAAAUUGAUGGAAGCUUUCUAUUGUAAUACAUUGUUUGCAUGUGGUGCUAUCUGAGUUGUACAUAUUGUUAUCAUGUAUUUCGUACUCUACGAUAAUAUAACUAUCUUGUUUGGUGGAAGGUUCACACAAUUGUAUACACUAUAAUACUAAUUGGUUGAUAAAAGGUUAAACUUGCAUUUUGUAUUGACCAAGGGUUUGUUUUGCAUGUACCCAGGAUUUAUAUUAUAAGCAUAUGUAAGAACUAACACCCGCAUAUGCCAAGGCAUGAAAUGAUCUGUUUGAACAAGAAAUUUAACUGUAAAAUAGACAUUAUGAAAUUAACAUAUUAAUAUGGAAACGGAAAUUCUGAACAUGAAUUAAGACACCAAUAAGCUUCUAUUCUUUUAAUCCAUUCAUUUUCUUCUCAACAUUUAAUAGUGUGUCCUUAGUUAGUAAUUGCGUAUAAAAGCAACUGUACUUUUAAAGUGUGCAGUCUGUCUUAUUAAGCAAAUCACUCCGUUAAAAAAACACGAGAUAAAAUAUAAAAUAUCAAAUAAACUGCCUUAACUAUAUUAGCUUACAAAGAAAUAAACCAAGGGUUAUACAGAGAUUAAUUUUUCAGUACAAAACUUUGUUUUCUCCAAGAGUAUAUAAUUUUUGGCUGCAAGUUAAUCCUUGCAUGCAAUACAUGUAAACGUAUGUACAUUAUACAUGACAUUGUAUCUGUAUGUUCAUGUUUAUUUGAAUUAAUCCUAGUUUGGCAUUUCAUUAGCAAAAGAGGAUUUUGACCAUCAAUAUAACACGACUCCAUCGUCAUGUACAAAUGUAGUACGAAAAUAAUGAUACAAAUUAUACAAUUCAUGUAUCAUCAUUGACAAGAUUUUUUAACAGUUAUAUUUUUAAAUAUAAAUGUUUUCAUUAUUUUUGUUUAAAGGGGAAAAGGAAUGACAUGACCUUCUUUUUAAUGGCUCAUUCGCUUGGUGGAGAGCAUCCUUUAGGUCAAUAAAACUUUAUUGAUUUAUACCCUCUUUAUUCCUCUGUUAAAAAUGAAAGGAGGAAGUAUUAAGAUUCAUAUAAAGAUAUCGUUUUACUGUCUGAUGAAAAUGGGAGAAGGAAACACAGUUUAACCAGUUUAAUUUUACUGUGUUACUGUAUAAUGAAAUGUAUUAAUGCUUUUGAAUACAUUUUUAGUUUAAAGAAAUAGUUUUAUUCAUGAGUAUAUGCCAUUGCAAAUCAAAGGAAAUUCUUUUUAUCAAAUGUUAAACCACGUAGUUUGUUACACUUCGAAUUUCCUAUUAUAAACAUCAAAGGAUUAUCAUGUUUUUGAUUAUUCUAGAAUGAAUAUCCACCGAAUAUUAAGCUAAUCAUGUGAUAAAUGAUUAUAAUGGAGAAUUGUCUCACAUUUGCAAUUCUAUUUGAAAUUGUUUUGUUUGAUAUAAACACAAGCAGGUUCUUAAUUAGAUGAAAUAAGUGAAUGCUGUAAUUCAUUUGGUAUACAUGUAACAUUUGCUACCUCUUGUGUAUAGAACCAAUGUCCCUUACACGAACGGCACAUACCGCACAUUUACCUCGUUUUCCCUUAAAAAAAAAUUAUGAAAAAUCGUUUUAUUGGCUGAUUAAGAAAACUCAAUCAAUGUACGGAAAAGAAAGAUAAUCAUGUAUAUGUAGUAAGCAAUCACAGACUUGCUGAAAACUAAAUACAUGUACCAGGAAAAUAUAUAGUAUUUGUAUAUUAUUCUUUUCAAUGCAGGACAAUUUUGAAAAUGUGAAAAAUCGCCCUUCUCAUAAAUAAUUACAUUUUUCGUUAAUAUCAUGAAAUAAAUUCGUUUUUAAGUUCAUUUUAAUGAAUUACGACAACAGUACCCAUUGCAAUAACAACGAGUACGCAAAGCCCAAUAACAUUUUGAAUUUAACAACUUACAUGCACGAAGCCAACAAAAAGAACGUAAUGCAAUGACAUCACAGAGUACAUGUACAUUUUUAUAACCAACAGCCAAUAUAACGCAAACCCUACUGAAUUAUCGAAGACAGUAGUAUCAUUUUACAGACAGGCGACAAUUACACUGCAAUUGCCCUUAAACAUCAAACUGAAAUGUAGGCAUGUCUUUAGUAUAGGCACAACAGCUUUACAUACCAAACAGUGACCGGGGGAAAUAAUGUUAAAAACGCGUUCAUUAUUGAAAUAUUAAAAAAAGUAUAUAAAGGAAGUAUUGUAACUUUUUUUUUUUCAUAUUGCUUUUUAAUUUUUUGAACAUGUUGCGGUAGGUCUGCCUGUCGAUGAACAGCGAUAUCUCUUCAUCACAUAGACACUUCUGUUUAAAAAGGAAAUAGUGCUUUUUACCACAAUACUCAAUACGAUCUCAUAUAACGGGAUAUAACUUCCAAUUGGAAAUAAAAAAUCAAGAAAGAUCACUUUAAUUUGUUUAUACUUCGUUGCUAAUGCCCUUAAUGUCACAAACGAAAAUGAUGUUAUCAAAGAACACAGUUGUACAUGUACAUGUCUUAAGUUGUUCAUUGUAUCAGCUAUAAAUUGUAUAUUUAAUAAACAAUUUUAAGAGCUUCCCAUUACUCAAAGGCUCUGAAGUAUAUUCUAUUUGCGCAAUUGUAAUAAGCCAAGAAUUUUUUUUUUAAAUGAGACAUCUGUUCAAUGGCUACAGUACAGCGUUCUACACAGAAUUCUUCCUGUUAACUUUUAUUUGAAAAAAAAAUCAAGAUCAUUGCAAAUGAUUAGUUACUGUACUUUUUGUAAAGAAGAAAUAUAUACAAUACAACGUGUAAUUUUAGUUGUACUAAUGUUUUACCCUUUGUGGAAUAAUCUUAAUAGAAAAUAAUAAUUUAUAGAAAAACAGAAAGUAGGGUUGGAUUCAAUGUUAUCAAUUUACUAAUUAGAGAAAAUUCUCUAAAUAUGGACAAUAGACCUGUGAACUUCAUAAUUUUAUAUACAAAACAAUUCAUGUUUUUAUGUCUGAAGCAGAAUAAGAUUCCAAACUAUGUUGAUUCUUUUUUUAUAUUAUUUGAGUUUUAAAUACAAGAUACAAAAUAUGCAUCAAUUCAAAAAUAGUAACUUAGGAAAUUUGAAAAAUGCUGGUCAC